CGCACGGGUGAGUAACACGUAUCCAACCUGCCGAUGACUCGGGGGAUAGCCUUUCGAAAGAAAGAUUAAUACCCGAUGGCAUAGUUCUUCCGCAUGGUAGAACUAUUAAAGAAUUUCGGUCAUCGAUGGGGAUGCGUUCCAUUAGGUUGUUGGCGGGGUAACGGCCCACCAAGCCUUCGAUGGAUAGGGGUUCUGAGAGGAAGGUCCCCCACAUUGGAACUGAGACACGGUCCAAACUCCUACGGGAGGCAACAUG
rnacentral:rRNA from 1 species